CUUCGGAUUCGUACUCAGCGUAGUUGAAAGUGGUAAGUUAUUAUAAAAUUAUUUAGUUCCACGAGGUGCACUACGGAAUUGAACGAUAGCGUGGGACAGCAAACGGCCUACUAGGCUUGCAACAUUUUUGGUCCUGGUUACUGAUUAGCAUUGCAAGGAGUAUAUAACCAAUUAGAAUUGAUGAACCAGGCUUUUGAAUCGAAGGCUUUGCCAAAUCAGUAAACUUUGUCAGUUAAAAAUAAAAUAACUUCACCAACACAAAACAAGCACGUCGAUUGCAGUGUAAAGCCAGCCGGGCGCACAAUGCAAUAAGUGUGCGAACUGGCAUAUAUAAUUUCUUAUCCAAUUUGCAUCGUGAUUGAGCCAAAAUACAAUCGAUUUGUGCUUGGCCAACGACCGAUCGUCAGACUAUUGGUGGUUUGCCAUCGGUCCCUUCAGAAUUAAAAGACAAACAUAUGGUGGCAAUGCAUGUUGAAGGAAAACACACUCCAAAUGCAAUAGCUGCUAAUGAUCUUCUUUUGUCAGCGUUCCUCCAGCAUGAACGACCGCCAUAACGUCUAGUGCAAACCAAGAAUUAAAUGUUUAGAGAGCUAUUAGGCUGAAGAGAACAGACAGAGAAAUGACUCGAUUAUCCAUCGUAUGAAAUUAAUACGGUUUAAGGAUCGAGCUUAAGGCAGGAAUUCAUGGUUGAGAAGACUUCUAUAGUAUCCAAUUUGAAAUAACAGUUGUCCCAGCUUGAAAUUUGUCCGUUGUAUAUAAGAUGUGAUAAUCUGUGAUUUGUCGUUGUGAACAGAAAGAGGACGACAUCGAAUAUUUUUAUGAGAUUUUAAUUAAUAAUUUCUUUUCUACACUAUUAUGAUUGUCAUCUGAUCACACUGAUGGCCGUCGUCGUUUCACUUGCGUCCUUCUUGCUUAAAGUUCCUAACAUCGAUAGAUUAUAGAUAGUUUUAGAAGUGUAAAAUUUAAGACUUUCUUUUCACCUCCAGGUACUAAAUUAAACCUUGCUUAAUUAAGUUCGCUAAUGUUCUUGGGUGAAAACAAUACUUCGGCUAUAGAUACCAUGGCCACCUAUAUUAUGUAAUUCAACUUUGGGAAUCUAUCCCAUUGUUAACUUAAUAACCAUUUACAAGUAAAAAGUCUAAUUUGUCAUUUGAUCUUUAGCAUUAUCCCAGCAUGCUUUUCAUGUCAUCAGUGAAUGACGUCAGAGUCCCAUAUUGGAUGUCGUUGAAGUAUGUGUCAAAGCUCCGCCAUCUAAACUCCAUGAAAGAAUAUUCAAGUCCACAAAGCAUGAUCCUGCUAAAAACAGAUUUUGAAAGUGGCCACUUUGGCGCAGGAACGUUUGAAGAGGUAUGGUGCUAAAGUUGUUGCAAACAAUAUAAACAUGAUAACAUGAAAGAUUGAUUGCUGAAAGGCUUUACUUGGUAGUGAACGCA